UGCUCCGAUCACAUGUUUGGAAGGAAGUCUCACAAAAUCUCUCGUGUGUUUGUUGUUUGGUUGGAAGUUAGCCACAAAAUGUAUUUUUUUUCUUAUAUAUGGGGGUUUGAGAGUUUAACUUACUAAAAGCUCUUAAGUUUAUAUGAUACUCUCAAGAUAAAUUCUUGGGGAGAGGGGUAGGUCUUUUCCUCUGUUUUGGAUGAACCUUAACGUUUUACAUUUCUACAUUUUGUCUUUCGCAUUUUAUUUUCCACUGGAAAACCAUAAAAUUUU
rnacentral:lncRNA from 1 species